GACGAACGCUGGCGGCGUGCCUAAUACAUGCAAGUCGAGCGGACAGAUGGGAGCUUGCUCCCUGAUGUUAGCGGCGGACGGGUGAGUAACACGUGGGUAACCUGCCUGUAAGACUGGGAUAACUCCGGGAAACCGGGGCUAAUACCGGAUGGUUGUUUGAACCGCAUGGUUCAAACAUAAAAGGUGGCUUCGGCUACCACUUACAGAUGGACCCGCGGCGCAUUAGCUAGUUGGUGAGGUAAUGGCUCACCAAGGCAACGAUGCGUAGCCGACCUGAGAGGGUGAUCGGCCACACUGGGACUGAGACACGGCGCAGACUCCUACGGGAGGCAGCAGUAGGGAAUCUUCCGCAAUGGACGAAAGUCUGACGGAGCAACGCCGCGUGAGUGAUGAAGGUUUUCGGAUCGUAAAGCUCUGUUGUUAGGGAAGAACAAGUACCGUUCGAAUAGGGCGGUACCUUGACGGUACCUAACCAGAAAGCCACGGCUAACUACGUUACAGCAGCCGCGGUAAAAC
rnacentral:rRNA from 1 species